GACGAACGCUGGCGGCGUGCUUAACACAUGCAAGUCGAACGGUGAAAGCGGAGCUUUCUCCGCUGGAUCAGUGGCGAACGGGUGAGUAACACGUGGGCAACCUCCCCCUCACUUCGGGAUAACUCCGGGAAACCGGGGCUAAUACCGUAUAUGACCUCCUUGGGCAUCCUUGGAGGUGGAAAGUUUUUCGGUGAGGGAGGGGCCCGGGGCCUAUCAGUGUGUUGGUGAGGUAGUGGCUAACCAAGGCGACGCGGGGUAGCCGGCCUGAGGGGGCGACCGGCCACACGGGGACUGAGACACGGGCCAGACUCCUACGGGAGGCAGCAGUGGGGAAUAUUGCGCAAUGGGCGGAAGCCGGACGCAGCAACGCCGCGUGCGGGAUGACGGCCUUCGGGUUGUAAACCGCUUUCAGCAGGGAAGAAGCCGCAAGGUGACGGUACCUGCAGAAGAAGCACCGGCUAACUACGUGCCAGCCGCCGCAGUAA
rnacentral:rRNA from 1 species